rnacentral:rRNA from 1 species
UACGUAGGGUGCGAGCGUUGUCCGGAAUUAUUGGGCGUAAAGAGCUCGUAGGCGGUGUGUCGCGUCGGCCGUGAAAACCUGCAGCUUAACUGUGGGCUUGCGGUCGAUACGGGCAUCACUGGAGUUCGGCAGGGGAGACUGGAAUUCCUGGUGUAGCGGUGAAAUGCGCAGAUAUCAGGAGGAACACCGGUGGCGAAGGCGGGUCUCUGGGGCCGAUACUGACGCUGAGGAGCGAAAAGCCGUGGGGGAGCGAACAGG